rnacentral:rRNA from 1 species
AUUGAACGCUGGCGGAAUGCUUUACACAUGCAAGUCGAACGGCAGCACGGACUUCGGUCUGGUGGCGAGUGGCGAACGGGUGAGUAAUGUAUCGGAACGUGCCCAGUCGUGGGGGAUAACGUAGUGAAAAUUACGCUAAUACCGCAUACGGUCUAUGGAUGAAAGCGGGGGAUCGCAAGACCUCGCGCGAUUGGAGCGGCCGAUAUCAGAUUAGGUAGUUGGUGGGGUAAAGGCCCACCAAGCCAACGAUCUGUAGCUGGUCUGAGAGGACGACCGGCCACACUGGAACUGAGACACGGUCCAGACUCCUACGGGAGGCAGCAGUGGGGAAUUUUGGACAAUGGGCGAAAGCCUGAUCCAGCCAUUCCGCGUGCAGGAUGAAGGCCCUCGGGUUGUAAACUGCUUUUGUACAGAACGAAAAGGUUUCUACUAAUACUAGGAGCUCAUGACGGUACUGUAAGAAUAAGCACCGGCUAACUACGAGCCAGCAGCCGCAGUAA